UACGGAGGGUGCGAGCGUUAUCCGGAUUCACUGGGUUUAAAGGGUGCGUAGGUGGGCAGGUAAGUCAGUGGUGAAAUCUCCGGGCUUAACCCGGAAACUGCCAUUGAUACUAUCAGUCUUGAAUACCGUGGAGGUAAGCGGAAUAUGUCAUGUAGCGGUGAAAUGCUUAGAUAUGACAUAGAACACCAAUUGCGAAGGCAGCUUACUACCCGAAUAUUGACACUGACGGCACGAAAGCGUGGGGAUCAAACAGG
rnacentral:rRNA from 1 species